rnacentral:miRNA from 1 species
GUGAAGUAUUUGGCGGAACUC